rnacentral:rRNA from 1 species
CAGUAGCCGCGGGAAUACGGAGGGAGCUAGCGUUGUUCGGAAUUACUGGGCGUAAAGCGCACGUAGGCGGUUAUUCAAGUCAGAGGUGAAAGCCCGGGGCUCAACUCCGGAACUGCCUUUGAAACUAGAUGACUGGAAUCUUGGAGAGGUCAGUGGAAUUCCGAGUGUAGAGGUGAAAUUCGUAGAUGUUCGGAAGAACACCAGUGGCGAAGGCGACUGACUGGACAAGUAUUGACGCUGAGGUGCGAAAGCGUGGGGAGCAAACAGGAUUAGAUACCCCAGUAGUCCCUGUCUCUUAUAC